UACGUAGGGUGCAAGCGUUGUCCGGAAUUAUUGGGUGUAAAGAGCUCGUAGGCGGUUUGUCGCGUCUGCUGUGAAAACUCAGGGCUUAACCCUGAGCUUGCAGUGGGUACGGGCAGACUAGAGUGCGGUAGGGGAGACUGGAAUUCCUGGUGUAGCGGUGAAAUGCGCAGAUAUCAGGAGGAACACCGGUGGCGAAGGCGGGUCUCUGGGCCGUAACUGACGCUGAGGAGCGAAAGCAUGGGGAGCGAACAGG
rnacentral:rRNA from 1 species